rnacentral:rRNA from 1 species
UGGGGAAUAUUGGACAAUGGGGGCAACCCUGAUCCAGCCAUGCCGCGUGUGUGAAGAAGGCCUUUUGGUUGUAAAGCACUUUAAGCAGGGAGGAGAGGCUAAUGGUUAAUACCCAUUAGAUUAGACGUUACCUGCAGAAUAAGCACCGGCUAACUCUGUGCCAGCAGCCGCGGUAAUACAGAGGGUGCGAGCGUUAAUCGGAAUUACUGGGCGUAAAGCGAGUGUAGGUGGCUCAUUAAGUCACAUGUGAAAUCCCCGGGCUUAACCUGGGAACUGCAUGUGAUACUGGUGGUGCUAGAAUAUGUGAGAGGGAAGUAGAAUUCCAGGUGUAGCGGUGAAAUGCGUAGAGAUCUGGAGGAAUACCGAUGGCGAAGGCAGCUUCCUGGCAUAAUAUUGACACUGAGAUUCGAAAGCGUGGGUAGCAAAACGGGAUUAGAUACCCUGGUAGUCCACGCCGUAAACGAUGUCUACUAGCCGUUGGGGUCCUUGAGACUUUAGUGGCGCAGUUAACGCGAUAAGUAGACCGCCUGGGGAGUACGGCCGC